UUUAGAAGGAGCAACAACAAAGGUGAAAUUUAUAGUGAAAAAAAAGUGACCUCAGCUAAAGUUGACCCGGGACAGAAUCAUACUUCUCAUGCUCCCUUAGUUAUCCCCUCCCUGGAACUUCUCAAAUGAUCCAAGAACUGGACAUUGAAAAGAGAGAUGAUUCAUAGCUUCAUCCCAGUAACCAAACAUGGUCUAUUUUGAGCCAAAAAGCCGAGUCAAAAGCAGGAAGCCGACUCACUCUUAAAUCUUAACUUAUGUCCUGCUGGCUAAGGUGGAGUUGCAGCUGUUACCAAACCUGUGAAAAAGCCCUUUCGGGGAAUCCGAAACCCUAGAAAUUUUAAAUGAUAAAGAAAAGCAGGGAGUGACUACGUUGCAGAUCAAGUGGGGGCAUCCACCCCCCACUCCAGUCUGCAUUUCAUUAUUAAAAUAAACCCCUGUUUCAGAUAUUUUCAUAACAUCCUCCCUCUCUCUCUCUCCUCUUUCCCUCUCAACGUCCAUUCAUUUCCAGUGUUUAUAGAUAUGAGUUGGAUAAAGAACAGAUUUGAUUCAAUCUGGAGACGCGUAGGCCUGUGAGAAAUAUAUAUAUUUAAACCUGGAAGUGGAUGGAACAACUGGAAUUCAUGACUAUGGCUGUGGGUCAUCAGAAGGGGUUGUAAUGUUUAAGUAAACCAACAAAAACCAUUACCGCACCACUUCUUGGGGAUUUUCUGUGUGCAAUCUAGGUGGAUGGAGGUUUCGUUGCCAGUUGUAGUCUGCUGCAAUUUCAAAGGGAAAAGUUUGGGAUCAAUAUUCUGACAAAAUACUUGGGGUAUCUUUGAAUGAAAUAUUUAGUUGCAUGGAGAAAAAAUUACCCCAGUUUUGUAGCUCUUGCUGGUGUCGUCUCAUAGUUUUGUUGCUGUGGCUGGCAAAGCUGGAGAUGGAUGGGCACAUGCAAGUCCUCUCCAAUGCUUAAACCAUUUGUGAAGGCAUUUCUGUUUGUUCCAUUCACUUCCCUUGUUCCAUAAACCUGGGAUGUGAAAUUUUUCUGCUGAGGUUGAGUAUAAAACAGCUCAUGGUUUGACA